GUAUAAUUAAAGAUUUAUCACUUAAAGAUGGCUGUGCGCCUGAUUAGGUAGUUGGUGCGGGUAAUGGCCCACCAAGCCAACGAUCAGUAACUGGUGUGAGAGCACGACCAGUCACACGGGCACUGAGACACGGGCCCGACUCCUACGGGAGGCAGCAGUAAGGAAUAUUGGUCAAUGGACGCAAGUCUGAACCAGCCAUGCCGCGUGAAGGAUGAAGGUCCUCUGGAUUGUAAACUUCUUUUGAAUGGGACGAAACCCUGGUAUUUUUAUCAGAUUGACGGUACCAUUAGAAUAAGCACCGGCUAACUCCGUGCCAGCAGCCGCGGUAAUACGGAGGGUGCAAGCGUUAUCCGGAUUCACUGGGUUUAAAGGGUGCGUAGGUGGGUCUGAAAGUCAGUGGUGAAAUCUCCGGGCUCAACCCGGAAACUGCCAUUGAUACUACAGGUCUUGAAUUUUCUGGAGGAUAGCGGAAUAUGUCAUGUAGCGGUGAAAUGCUUAGAUAUGACAUAGAACACCAAUUGCGAAGCAGCUAUCUACAGGAAUAUUGACACUGAGGCACGAAAGCGUGGGGAUCAAAC
rnacentral:rRNA from 1 species